rnacentral:rRNA from 1 species
UACGGAGGGUGCAAACGUUGCUCGGAAUUAUUGGGCGUAAAGCGCGCGUAGGCGGCCGUAUAAGUCUGAUGUGAAAGCCCAGAGCUCAACUCUGGAAAGCCAUUGGAAACUGUACGGCUUGAGAACAGGAGGGGUAGGUGGAAUUCCUGGUGUAGGAGUGAAAUCCGUAGAGAUCAGGAGGAACACCGGUGGCGAAGGCG